UACAGAGGGGGCAAGCGUUGUUCGGAAUUACUGGGCGUAAAGGGCGCGUAGGCGGCCUGCUAAGUCGAACGUGAAAUCCCCCGAGCUCAACUCGGGAACUGCGUCCGAUACUGGCAGGCUUGAAUCCGGGAGAGGGAUGCGAGUACUCAGGUGUAGCGGUGAAAUGCGUAGAUAUCUGGAGGAACACCGGUGGCGAAGGCGGCAUCCUGGACCGGCAUUGACGCUGAGGCGCGAAAGCCAGGGGGAGCAAAACGGGAUUAGAAAACCCC
rnacentral:rRNA from 1 species